CGAAUAUUGAAUAUCGAAUACUUAUCAACAAGAAUUCUUCCACCGUAUUGUGCCGCCGGACUGCGUCUGUUCCUAUUUACUGCUCUGCACCGAUCCUGAUGACUCCAGCCAUACACACAUAGUUCCCUAGCUGCGUGGUUCUGAUUGGGCCGUCGUGCUGGAUUCCUGACCUCAUCAUCUCCUCGUUCCUCGUUCGCAUUUCUCGCAUUUCUCGCAUUUCUCGCAUUUCUCCUUCAACCCCCAUUCAACCUCGCAACAUCUCCAGCUUCAACCUGCCAUGGUCCGUCCAACUCCUCUCCCAGCCCGUUGACGUUGUUGCCUCCGUAUGGUGUAUCUACAAAUCCAUUCGUGAUCUCUCUUGGAGAGAGACUUCUCAGCCACCCAACUCAAAACUCCAACUUCACCCCUCAUGGUCAACCGCCGCUCUUUCUAUUCCGCGCCUGAAUGAAAUCCAAGGCCGAUUCGUCCUUAGAGCACAGAUAACAUAGAUUGCUAUCCGUAACUGGCCCUGUUGCAUUAUAUCUGCUCCUCCCGGAGACCCUCCUGCCCAAUUAUAGUGGUCCGAUCCUCGGCUCUGGCUCCAUCUCUCUCUUGUCCUCUGGUUCAGUUUAUUUCAUUUGAGGGAAUAAAAAAAAACAGAGAACCAACAACAAACUCUUCCUCUCGAUUUGAUUUGUGACUGGUUCUGACGUCGCACACCGAGGCAAUCCAGCGGCGUCUGGCGGUGUCCAAAGCCGUGUGUGAAUCUGUGGCUUCCUACGCGUCCAACCUCCGGCCCAUACAUGCCAGUACAAAGCAAACCAUUGAUCUGGAUCUUACGGUCAGCACUUUUGGCGCAAAAUGCAGGGCUCCAGUCGUUUGCACCCGCAUCCACGUUCUCCAAACGCCAAGCCGCGGCCGCAAUCGCAUGCCAAGGCUGGACAGCUUUCCAGCAACAAGUUUCGUGAUGAGAAGCCACGGUUAUUGCUAAUGGGUCUCCGUCGGAGCGGCAAAUCCUCCAUCUCGAGUGUCGUCUUUCACAAAAUGCCCCCAACAGAAACGUUAUUCCUCGAAUCGACAACUCGCAUCCACAAGGACUCAGUCCACUCUUUCAUGGACUUUCAGGUUUGGGAUUUCCCUGGUCAGUUGGAAUAUCUCGAGCCAUCCUUCGAUCUGGAAGAUAUCUUCGGUACUCUAGGCGCAUUGGUAUGGGUUAUCGAUGCCCAGGAUGACUAUCUAGAAGCCGUCUCGAGGCUAAACAGAACCAUACUCCUUGUCCAACAAUACUAUCCUCACAUCAAUAUCGAAAUCUUCAUCCACAAGGUCGACGGCCUAUCUGAUGAAUACCGCUCUGACACGUUCCAAGAUAUCGUUCAACUCAUAUCAGAUGAGCUCAACGAUGCUGGCUAUGAGAACGCGCCUGUACAUUAUUACCUCACGUCGAUAUACGACUACUCCGUUUUCGAAGCUUUCAGCAAAGUGAUUCAGAAACUCAUCCCGCAACUUUCCGCUCUCGAAAACCUCAUCAAUAUUCUGGCCAACAACUCCGGCAUGGAGAAGAUCUACCUGUUCGACGUGCUCAGUAAGAUUUACAUCGCGUCGGACACAAAGCCCGUAGACAUGGCCUGCUACGAAAUGUGCUCAGAUUAUAUAGACGUUAUCGUCGAUGUGAGCGAGCUGUAUUCGUGGGAACACCCUGAGCGCAAACCCAAAGGUCCGCAAAUCCCUGAAGCGGAGAGUCAUAUAAUUUUGCAUGAUAAGAGGAUGAUCCAUCUUAUGGAGAUGAAUAAGUAUUUAUGUCUCGUUUCCGUGAUUAGGAAUGCAGACGCAAGUGAGAAAAAGGGCCUUAUCGAUAUGAACUGCCGCACGUUCCAGUCCGCACUGAAUGAAGUCUUUGCGAAAACCUGGGAGCAGAAGUCGUGAAAAACUCCUAAGGGAUAGAGGAAGAAAGAAUUUAUCCUCAGAACAUACCCCCUCCUCCACGCAUGCAUUCAUUAUGUGAUUCAACCGGUCCGAUAGGGGACUUUUGGGCACUUACCUUCAAUUGUCGAAUUAGUUAUGCCGAUUGAUCCCUUCUAACAGUUUUCCCCUUCUCGUUGCUUUUGCGCUCCUUGUAUGACUUUUGUCGAGUGAGAUACUUGCUCCAUGGGGUGGCCUUUAUUUACCGAUGUUUUUCCACUAACGGGAGGGUAUAACCGGGAGACAGGGGGUACUAGUAGUUUGGGAUAAGUUUUAAAAACCUCAAUGCAGCUCCGAAAGCGGAAAAAUGGCAGAAGCCGUUUCCCUUGUUGCAUCAUAAUGUAUUGAUCAGGAGACUAUAUAUAUAACAUAUAUACUAUAUGUAUAAUAUAAUCGCCCGGAUUAUUGAGGUUAUUGACAAUAAUAAAUUCAGGGGCCUAGAUGAAUAUAACACAUUUUCAAAGAGCAUAUCUCCAUGCUCAAACCAAAGAGGUGUCAGGCAUAGGCUGAUGAAUCACGCAAUGACUGCCGACUUUGUGCUCGGCGAUCCAGUUGACAAUAUCUGGCCAACGCUGGAUGAACAAUAGCGGUGUGUCAACCAGAGAACGGCUUGCAGGUCAUUUAAGGCCCGUUAGAUCAUGCACGCAGCCCCUAUAUAAAUUGGGAUUGGACGUGUCAAUCGCAAGCCUUCGCGCGACCCCUACGAAAGUAUUGGGAUCAGUUU
rnacentral:sRNA from 1 species